UCUACUGCCAUGUGCCUUUUAUUUCAGGUUGCUUCUUCUAGCAGAAAGGAACUAUGAGACUUUCAAUGAAGAGUUGCUGGCAGUGAAAACUGCUUUCCAACAAUGGAGGCACUUUCUGGAAGAGGCUGCCCGCCCAAUACAAAUUCAUACAGACCACAAGAAUUUAGUUCUACAGAAGGCACAGUCCCUCACUCCUCAACAAAUCAGUUUCUAAUUUUGAUACAAGUCAGUGGACUAAUGUGAAGAGGAAGCUGGGCUUGGACAAACAAGAUAUAUGAACAUUUUUGAUUCCUCUUCAGUGAUGCCUUAAAAUGAAAAUGAUUUCCUUCAAAUGAUUGCCCAGAAGCAGAUUCCUACUUUUGAAGGACACUUUGUUGCCACAGGUGAUGAAAUGACCAGGGUGGACAUGCUGGAGAACCAGCUCAUAGAUUCCCGAAUAGGUCUUUCAAGUUGUGCUACAUUCCAGAUUUUCAGGAAAAAACUGAAGCCUGAGUAUUUGGAGUUACUGCCUGGGAAGUUCAAGUUGUAUUCUCAACUUUUGGAGGACAGAAGUGUGGGACCUACAUAGAAUCCAUGAUAUCUGACACAUUUCAUUGUUCCAUGCCUUGGAGAAGAUGUUUGCCUGCAUAAUUCAGGUUAUUUCAUAAAGACUCCUAUCUCCUUGAAAAGGAUCAAGUGGGGCAACAAAAAGAUUAGAGGAGUUCAUGAGUCUUGCAGUGUCAGCUACUGUAGACAUUGUAUGAAUGUGAGACCUUGAGUCAUUCAUCAUUUCUCCAUGUUUUUAAACUUUAUUAUAAUACCAUCAAAUA